UACGUAGGGCGCGAGCGUUUGUCCGGAAUUAUUGGGCGUAAAGAGCUCGUAGGCGGCCUGUUACGUCUGCUGUGAAAUCCCGGGGCUUAACCCCGGGCGUGCAGUGGAUACGGGCAGGCUGGAGGCAGGCAGGGGAGAACGGAAUUCCCGGUGUAGCGGCGAAAAUGCGCAGAUAUCGGGAGGAACACCGGUGGCGAAGGCGGUUCUCUGGGCCUGUACUGACGCUGAGGAGCGAAAGCGUGGGGAGCGAACGGG
rnacentral:rRNA from 1 species